rnacentral:rRNA from 1 species
AUUGAACGCUGGCGGCAGGCCUAACACAUGCCAGUCGAGCGGAUGAAGGGAGCUUGCUCCUGGAUUCAGCGGCGGACGGGUGAGUAAUGCCUAGGAAUCUGCCUGGUAGUGGGGGAUAACGUCCGGAGACGGGCGCUAAUACCGCAUACGUCCUGAGGGAGAAAGUGGGGGAUCUUCGGACCUCACGCUAUCAGAUGAGCCUAGGUCGGAUUAGCUAGUUGGUGGGGUAAAGGCCUACCAAGGCGACGAUCCGUAACUGGUCUGAGAGGAUGAUCAGUCACACUGGAACUGAGACACGGUCCAGACUCCUACGGGAGGCAGCAGUGGGGAAUAUUGGACAAUGGGCGAAAGCCUGAUCCAGCCAUGCCGCGUGUGUGAAGAAGGUCUUCGGAUUGCAAAGCACUUUAAGUUGGGAGGAAGGGCAGUAAGUUAAUACCUUGCUGUUUUGACGUUACCAACAGAAUAAGCACCGGCUAACUUCGUG